AUCCGACUGACGAGUCCCAAAUAGGACGAAACACGCGUCCUGGAA
rfam:Schistosoma margrebowiei strain Zambia genome assembly, scaffold: SMRZ_scaffold0000249